GAAUUAACGCGCGCGUGUUUUAAAUCUUUUGUAUUAUUUUUCGUUCGACGACGGGGAAUUUCCCUAACUCGAUGAUUGCGCACAAGCCGCAUGACGACGCGAGCGAUAUUUCUCUUCGAAUUUUCCUCCGCCGAGUUCGGUGAGAAUAAUUUUUUCUUUUUUUUUUUUUUCUCAAACAAAAUUAUACUUUGCUAUAAUUGUGCAUUGUAAGUCAUGUUUAUUCGACGCGAACGUCAUUUAUAAUUCAUAUUUUUCAAUUCAACGGAAUGUAUCGUAUACCUAAUUAUUUUUACAUCGAAUCUUCAUUUAAUCUAUUUAGGAAUCCGCGACUGAAUCAGUCGCUUUUGUACACACGUAUUACAUACGUAUAGGUACAAUAUAUACCAGCUGGAUAAUGAUGGUAACUUUGGGCGUAACCCAUUAGACUUGUAAUAAAGGUAGGAAAAAAAAAAAAAUUAAAAAAUGAUUAUUAAAAUUACGUUGCAGCGUUGAGGAACCGCGACAGUUGCCAGCCGUGAAAUGUUUCGAGGUAAACUACCCGUCGAGGUUUAACCCUUUAGUUUCGACCGAUUUGCAUGGAACAAAAAAGGAAGAAGAAAAAAAAAAAAGGGAAAAGAAAAAGGCUACGGUGGUCGGUUUUCACCAAACGAAAGGGUUACCUUCGCCGCAUCGCUGAGGGGCGCUCGAAGGUGGGCGUAUCUGACGUUUGUUUCUGCCAGGGUCCAGUUCGGACAAUGCGAGGAUAUUUGUCACUUUGAAAAAUCUACAUGCGCUGGGAUACAUUUAUAUUCCGACCAGAGCGUACGCAGCCCGACGCAACACACACACACACACACACACACACACAGGCAUCGCGUGACCCGAAUAUACGCAGGGGUUGAAACUACCCGCGUGACAUAAAAGACGGCGAGCAUCGGGGGAAUUUUUUAAACAAUCGUGAUUUACGCGGUACUGAACAAUGCGCGUGAAGACUGAGGUGAAACUAAACUCGUCACGAACGAUGACCACGCGCAAAAGCGGCGAACGGAAGCUGACACCAAACAAUUUACCACCGAACCCACCGAGCGUGACAAGAUCAUCGCGCUGCUCCGACACGCCGACCCGGGCUCCGCCGAUCCUCGAUCCACGCGAUUCGUUUCAUUUCAUCCGCGUCGCGUCUGCAGAAAUCAACCCUACCAGCCUCACGUGUGAAAGUUUGCAGAAAAGAUUGCCGAAAAAUCAUCAGGAUUACAAAUCGAAGAAAAGCGCAAUAUCGAUGCGACGCUGGCCCCAGGUACGGUAUACCAAUGCGUAACGUUUAUACAAGUAUACACACGCCACGUAGGCAUAUUUCAGGACACGGAUACGCGACGAUAGAGUCGUCAGGCUUAUCUCGAUGUCCUUUAUACAGAUUCAGUUGAACGCGAAAGGGCUGGUACACGUAUAACGCAGCGACGGAAUAUAACGAGGGAGGGCGAAUUACGGGCGAAUAACGGAGGCCUGUACGUCGUGCGUCGCAUUGGUCCUGCAGGAGGUUCGGGUUUGUUUAUCAGGCGCAUGGAUCUACCCGUAAUUAUUGCCCACUGCAGAGAGGGCAACAAUGCCCGGCACGUGUCCAGCUGAGCUUUAGAACCCGCGCCGCGUGGGCUCCCGAUGUCCGCUAUCGAUCUACUGCAAAUCUAAUGGCAAAAAAAAAAAAAGAUCCGCGGCGAACGAUCGUCGAAGACGGAGCGUGAACAAAAAUUGCGUAGACUCGUCAUCGAGUGGUUGAGUUUUGAAUAGAUACGCAUAUAUCUGUAUAAUAUAAUCCUUGAACCCUGGAGUGAUCCACUUAAGCCUCGGGAGGGAAGUUCGGUCACGAAAUACCGUUUUCAAAAUCCUCGCCUACCGUAGCUAAAGAUUCGUGUGUGUAUAUACCUAUAUCUGUUUCCCCCAACUCCGCUGCAGCUAUCCUAAUUUUUCCAGGUCCCGUUUGACACGCGGACUAUACCGUGUACAUCUACUGCACGGAGAAUCGCUACCCAAGGGGCCAGCGGCCAGGUCGACUUCCGAAAGAUUUACGAGCUCCUCUUUUGCCGCAGCUCUCGGUCCGACUCCACCGUGUUCAUACCGUUCGACCCACGGUAAACCAUCUGGCGUCAGCGAAUGUCGUGUACUUGUACGUACACUAUACCACUUCGGGGGUGAAGAUGAAACGAAAUACUCUCGGAGACGCUAAUUGUCCAUCUCCAUUCCGGAAGGGAGAAAUUCUUUGACUCUUGGCUCACCGUUCGUAAUACCUACGUCGAGAUAUAGUUUUGGGAAGUGGGCAACACCUUUUACUACCUGUUGCCGAGCUAUCUCGCCGUCUGUAGGUCGCCUCGAUUCGCUACCAGCUAAAUUAUCCGUGAGGUCCGUUCAGAAGCAGGUGAUACGAAUAACAAGGUGGUACCUACCUCGCUCUCGCGGCUGAGUCUUCUGAACAAUUCGUCGGUUUCGAAUUUAGUCUUUUGUUCCGGAACUACGCGUGGCAUCUUGAAGACGAGCCUGGGUCUGGGUUGCUCGUAG